AUUGAACGCUGGCGGCAUGCCUUACACAUGCAAGUCGAACGGCAGCAUGAUCUAGCUUGCUAGAUUGAUGGCGAGUGGCGAACGGGUGAGUAAUACAUCGGAACGUGCCCUGUAGUGGGGGAUAACUAGUCGAAAGAUUAGCUAAUACCGCAUACGACCUGAGGGUGAAAGUGGGGGACCGCAAGGCCUCAUGCUAUAGGAGCGGCCGAUGUCUGAUUAGCUAGUUGGUGAGGUAAAGGCUCACCAAGGCGACGAUCAGUAGCUGGUCUGAGAGGACGAUCAGCCACACUGGGACUGAGACACGGCCCAGACUCCUACGGGAGGCAGCAGUGGGGAAUUUUGGACAAUGGGCGAAAGCCUGAUCCAGCAAUGCCGCGUGUGCGAAGAAGGCCUUCGGGUUGUAAAGCACUUUUGUCCGGAAAGAAAUGGCUCUGGUUAAUACCUGGGGUCGAUGACGGUACCGGAAGAAUAAGGACCGGCUAACUACGUG
rnacentral:rRNA from 1 species